rnacentral:sRNA from 1 species
UAGAACAUAAUUGAACAAACAAAUAAAUCUUUUUACUUCUGGCUUUGGAAGAACUAAUUUAGAAGGCGAAUCGUCCUAUUUGCAUGUAAGGCAAGAAAGUCUUCUUCUUCAAAUCUUUCGUUUCUGCUUUCUUAGACAUGUAA